UUUGAUCCUGGCUCAGGAUGAACGCCGGCGGCGUGCUUAAUACAUGCAAGUCGAACGAACUUCCGUUAAUUGAUCAGGACGUGCUUGCACUGAAUGAGAUUUUAACACGAAGUGAGUGGCGGACGGGUGAGUAACACGUGGGUAACCUGCCCAGAAGCAGGGGAUAACACCUGGAAACAGAUGCUAAUACCGUAUAACAGAGAAAACCGCCUGGUUUUCUUUUAAAAGAUGGCUCUGCUAUCACUUCUGGAUGGACCCGCGGCGCAUUAGCUAGUUGGUGAGGUAACGGCUCACCAAGGCGAUGAUGCGUAGCCGACCUGAGAGGGUAAUCGGCCACAUUGGGACUGAGACACGGCCCAGACUCCUACGGGAGGCAGCAGUAGGGAAUCUUCCACAAUGGACGCAAGUCUGAUGGAGCAACGCCGCGUGAGUGAAGAAGGGUUUCGGCUCGUAAAGCUCUGUUGUUAAAGAAGAACGUGGGUGAGAGUAACUAUUCACCCAGUGACGGUAUUUAACCAGAAAGCCACGGCUAACUACGUGCCAGCAGCCGCGGUAAUACGUAGGUGGCAAGCGUUAUCCGGAUUUAUUGGGCGUAAAGCGAGCGCAGGCGGUCUUUUAAGUCUAAUGUGAAAGCCUUCGGCUCAACCGAAGAAGUGCAUUGGAAACUGGGAGACUUGAGUGCAGAAGAGGACAGUGGAACUCCAUGUGUAGCGGUGAAAUGCGUAGAUAUAUGGAAGAACACCAGUGGCGAAGGCGGCUGUCUGGUCUGUAACUGACGCU
rnacentral:rRNA from 1 species